CGAGUAAGCAGGGCAGUCGCGGGAACACGGCCGCAAGGCGGUUCUCGAGGAAAGUCCGAGCUCCGCAGGGCAGGGUGCUGGGUAACGCCCAGUGGGGGUGACCCUAAGGCCAGUGCCACAGAAAAUAUACCGUCCGGCACUCAGCGGGAGGAAGGCAAGGUGCUUGAUCGGCCAGGACGAUGCUUUCUUGCCGCUGGGUGCUGGAUAAGGGUGCAACGGUGCGGUAAGAGCGCACCAGGGGCCGGGAGACCGGUUCGCUAGGUAAACCCCACCCGGAGCAAGACCAAAUAGGAGGGGGAUGAGGUUGCCCGCCGACUCCUCGGGUUUGGUCG
rnacentral:RNase_P_RNA from 1 species